rnacentral:lncRNA from 1 species
GGUUUUGUUUGCAUUAGAAAAAACUGCUACAGACUAGGAACUGAUAGACUUUUGAAAAAAUUGAUUCGUAAACGAUGGACUACAGUUUCUAUCGAAUGAGAUGGGCAUGAGUACGUUUUAAUUAAUUAAUAACAUGGGCUUGAGAUUACCAUGAACUAGGCUGUGACUUGCCGGAAGAUCUGCCGGCGGCAGCGGACAAGACGUUGCGCUAGUAGCGUCGGUGGUGCCUCCAUGACCUACUCCCAUGCAGGCUGCAAGGUCUCAGCCGGAACAACGAUUGAAAAAGGGCAAGGUCGAGUGGCGGCCGCCAUAAACUAUUUUUGCUUGGAUGAAGAAGAUCGUGUGUUGAUUGACGAACAUGCGAAGAGACGUUGCGGCACUGGAUCCAUUCGUCUUUGCUGGGACGACCAAGCAGUCACGCAUACCUAGGAGCGCAGGCCCUCCAUACGGG